AUUGAACGCUGGCGGCAGGCCUAACACAUGCAAGUCGAGCGAGCGGCGGACGGGUGAGUAAUGUCUGGGAAACUGCCUGAUGUAGGGGGAUAACUACUGGAAGCGAUAGCUGAUACCACAUACCAUCAGAUGUUCCGCGAUGGGAUUAGCUAGUAGGUGGGGUAAUGGCGCACCUAGGCGACGAACCCUAGCUGGUCUGAGAGGAUGACCAGCCAAACUGGAACGGAGACACGGCCCAGACUCCUACGGGAGGAAGCAGGGGGGAACAUUGCAAAAUGGCGGAAAGCCUGCUGAAGACAUGCCGCGGGGGGGAAGCAGGCCUUCGGGUUGAAAAGCCCUUUCAGCGGGGCGGCGUUACCCGCAGAAGAAGCACCGGCUAACUACGUGCCAGCAGCCGCGGUAAUUC
rnacentral:rRNA from 1 species